ensembl:lncRNA
AGAGCGACCGCAACACAAAACCCCAGCAGGGACGCUGACAGGAGAAGAAGGCCGAGGAACACGAGCGAGACGAGGAGGAACAGAGAAAGCGCAAGAGGGAGGACGGCUCAGAGAGGGAAGGAGAUAAAAGAAGAGGAAACGGGAGGUACGGGAAAAAAAGCAGGAAACAAUCAAAGAAAGUUCCUUGAUAAGCCCCAGAGAACGGCACCUGUGGAAAAUGUAAUCUUACAAAUUCUAGCAGAGGAGGCGGUGGGGAAGCUCAUGAUAAUGUGAUUGUGGGCAGAGGAGGGGCGCUCAAAGCAACCAAAAGCAAGCGGCCCGGGUCCGGUGGAGUGGGAGGGAAGGCGAAGGGUGGUGGGCACAAGGGCCAGCCGAGAGGGGACUGACUUAUCAAAGGCGCUGGCAGAGCCCAGGAUUGUCAGCACAGGUGAACAAAGUGAAUGGGAGAUGUGGCUGACAAUAAAGAUUUCUUUUAACAUCAGUGAGAGCAGGCUCUGGAGACAGGCAGCCAGGACAGAUGCAGAAGACGGUGUUACUCUGAGGGCCACGGAUGUUUCCCUGAGACCUGGAGAUGCCAGCUAUAAUGAUGAGCCCAGGAAGUUGUAGGCAGGCAAGAUGCCAGCCGCAAAUCUAUUAUUUCAUUCUGCUUUUUUAAAGAGGAUCUUUAAUAGACACCCUAAAUUUCAGCGAGUGUCAAGGGCUGCUUAAAGUUUAAUUCUCCCCCACUUCUUUCCCUAUUAAUAGGCCACACAGUAAGAAAACAACACAUUAUUUUUUAAUAUCGUGAAAAAAGAAAGCGGAAAACAAAUGUGACCCCCCCCCCCCCCUCUUUAAUUAAAAAUUUUUUUUUUUUUUUUUUUUUUACAUUUUUUUUUUUUUUUUUUUUUUUUUUUUUUUUUUUUUUUUUUUUUUUUUUUUUUUUACAGAAGGUGAGGAAGAGUUCUGAACCCAACUGAAGACGAGCUACAAUAUCUAAUGAGACCGAAUGAGGUGAUUAAAUGUGUAAGUUCAGGGACUUUCAAAAGGCACCUUGGGAUGGGGGUCAUGAUUCCAGAGACUGGGCAUUUUCUCUCGUUCAUGUGAUGGAUACAGUUUUUUUUUAUUUUAUUAUUUUUUUAUUUAUUUUUUUGUGGCAGUUAGGACACAUGUUCUUAACUGUUUGAAUGAUUGCAGCGUUUUAUUUCUAUUUUACGUAAGUGGACCUUACACUGCAGUUGGGAGCAGACAUCUCCAUUCGCCUUCCAGCACUCAUUUGCUUGGUCUGUGCCUUUCUCUGUAUAAUUAGUAAUUAACACAUUCUUUUGUGUAGGCCUCUCUUUAUUUAUGGUUAAGCGCUUGCCAAAUCCCACAUUCCUCCGCCAGGAUCAGAUUAAUGCCGGAGUAGGAGGAACUCAGAGAACAGGCCACCCUCCAGUCAGAAGUGCUUACACGCCAGAACAGCACAGAACACCUGAUAAAAAGUGAAUGUGACUUUUAUUAAAAUUAUACCUGUGAAUGAAUCAGUGCAUGAACUUGAUUAGCAGGCAUACACAUCACUAGUUCAUUUUUGUGCAUUGAAAAUGUUCUCACUGCGCUGCUUUGAUGAAAUAAUUUUUAUUUUUUGCCU